GUCCAGGACCUUGUGGGAAUUCUUCCCCUCAUGUGUUUUCAAUUACAACCUCGGCUCUUGACUGCGGGCCUUCCAGGCCGUGUGGUCAGGCCGGUGUUCCCUUCUGGAGGGACGUUCCUGGAAGCCCAGGAGGCCCCGUGAAAAGGUUUCUCCUCAGCUGUUGGCCUCACAUCAAAGUAAAAACAAAACAAAACAAAACAAACAAAAGUAUUUCAAGGCUCUGAUUCUGCUCUGUUAGAGGAGUCUGGUGGAGGGUCAGUCUUUCUAGAACAGACCUAACUGAGCAUGUGUUUGCAUAUCUGUAUGACAGACGAAGACCCGGCCUGCUGGCACGCUGACGACUGUGCCAAAGAGAAGUAGAUUACGUUAGCCUGCAGAGCAGAAGGGGUUUUGACACUGGGCCCGCAGCUGGAAGGCAAGCAGGCCUUAACCACAGCGAGGGCUGCCGGUUGGGAGCUUAGACACACGUGAGCGGGAGCUUGAACUCGCAGACACACGUGACCGUGAGCCAAGUGAGCCAGCAGACCAUAUGCCUCUUGUGUCUCCAGAGACAAGUGGGUUAACUUGGCCCCAGGAGAAGGCUGGCCACAAAGGUCCGCACCAGAGUGGAAUUUUCUCUGCCAGAAAAGCCCGAUUAAAAGAUCCCAUUCACGAGCCCCAUCUGUGGCAGGGCUACACGUCCCUGCUCGUCAACAAAAUCCAGGCGAUGUCAUCCCCUCCUCCUGAUGGGAGCCUUGGCCAUACAGUGGGGUGACUUUGGUCAAUGAAAUGGUAAUGGAAAUGGCUCCUGUCCCUCUGAGCGGAAGCUUUAAGAAUCCCCACGUGUCUCUUCCUUCUGUCACAAGACCAGCCGUGACUCAGUGGAGGCGCUCCCUCAGCCUAGGGCCCCGCGGAAAUGCCAGAGGUCACCUGCAGAUGGGUGACUCAGGAGAAACAAUCCUCUUGUGGGGUGGUUACCCGUAGAACCCUAAUAUGAGAAAUGUGUACAAAAGCAACAGACUGUAACGUAAAAGGAAUGUGUAAAAAAAAAAAAACAACUUAGCAAAUGGAAGCUUUAUAAAUGGACAAAGCACG